UACGGAGGGGGCGAGCGUUAUUCGGAAUUAUUGGGCGUAAAGGGCUCGUAGGCGGCCAACUAAGUCGGACGUGAAAUCCCCAGGCUCAACCUGGGAACUGCGUCCGAUACUGGAUGGCUUGAAUCCGGGAGAGGGAUGCAGAAUUCCAGGUGUAGCGGUGAAAUGCGUAGAUAUCUGGAGGAAUACCGGUGGCGAAGGCGGCAUCCUGGACCGGCAUUGACGCUGAGGAGCGAAAGCCAGGGGAGCAAACGGG
rnacentral:rRNA from 1 species